rfam:Helianthus annuus linkage group 1, whole genome shotgun sequence.
GGGCGAUGAUGAUAAAAACAUUUCUCGAUUCUGAUCAAAAAACAAUUGGAAUUUGAUAUUGGGUUAGUUAAAACAUCCAAUUUCUUCUUACCAACUGUAACUUGAUGACCGAAUUUGUGCGUGUCUGAGCCUC